rnacentral:tRNA from 1 species
GUUAAUGUAGCUUAAAUUACCAAAGCAAGGCACUGAAAAUGCCUAGACGGGUAUCUCACCCCAUGAACA